rnacentral:rRNA from 1 species
GACGAACGCUGGCGGCGUGCCUAAUACAUGCAAGUCGAACGAGAGCAACCGGUGCUUGCACUGGUCAAUCUAGUGGCGAACGGGUGAGUAACACGUGGGUAACCUGCCCAUCAGAGGGGGAUAACAUCCGGAAACGGAUGCUAAAACCGCAUAGGUCUUCGAACCGCAUGGUUUGAAGAGGAAAAGAGGCGCAAGCUUCUGCUGAUGGAUGGACCCGCGGUGCAUUAGCUAGUUGGUGAGGUAACGGCUCACCAAGGCCGUGAUGCAUAGCCGACCUGAGAGGGUGAUCGUCCACAUUGGGACUGAGACACGGCCCAAACUCCUACGGGAGGCAGCAGUAGGGAAUCUUCCGCAAUGGACGCAAGUCUGACGGAGCAACGCCGCGUGAGUGAAGAAGGUUUUCGGAUCGUAAAACUCUGUUGUUAGAGAAGAACAAGUGCUAGAGUAACUGUUAGCGCCUUGACGGUAUCUAACCAGAAAGCCACGGCUAACUACGUG